UAUCAUCAAUAUCUGUCCCUCCUCUCAUGCUGAAGCCAAACAUCGGAGGAUCUUUGAGGGUCUUAAACGGGCUCUCAAUGACCUGAACAUACUGGUUGGUCAAGCCAUCACUCUGACCCAGGACCUCUGGACUGCUUGGAAAGAUCUUUCAGGAGUGUCUCUUUACAUUCUGUCACCCAGUCACCAAGGCAGCUCCAACGAGGAUGGAGAACCAGGUCAUGCAGUAGCCAGGCAAGGAGAGAGCCAGCACAAGGCCCCACCCAAUACACCUGCACGAGGCCAGUCCAAAGAAAUCUCAUCAGCCAUCCUUACCGCCACAAGAUGACCAAGGGUGACAGACAGGCCGAUGAUGGCAGGGGCCACAGAGGAAAACGCUGAUUUGGGAUGAGCGGCAGCCUGGACACACAGCACUAGCUGGAAUGUAACAGCCAUCUCCACUAACAGAGCCUGAUACAGAUAUACCCCCGGGGCCACCUGAAGGAGGGUUGCUCUUUAGGGAAGUCGGCGUGAUGCCUAACAGGAGAGAACAUGCACUGAGGGCACCAAGCAGCUGGGCUCCCACCAAGAGGACAGCCCGCCAGGGGCUUACCCUCAAGCCUGCAACCAAAGCCAG